GAGCCAGGGUGAUGGGCAUGGCCAACAUGUGUGGGCCCCAGGGCUGUGUUCUCUCCCCAGAUUCUUCUCUGACGGGCACCUGGAGGAGAUACCUCCACAGCAGCCCUGGUGAUUCACGUGCUUUCUUUUCUCCAGGAGGCGGGAGGUUAGCACCUUGCAGAGGAGGAGGGGGCGAGCUGAAGGUCACCUUCCAGGGGCUGUGGCAAUGAGUGGGUCACUGCAGAGUGGUUCACUGCUGGAGCAGAGCUUCAAAGUGCACAGUGGGGGCUAAGAGUGCCUCCCCGCCCCAACUCAGUUGACAUCUGCCUUCAAAGCUGCCGGCUUGCCUCCAGAGGAGCCACCUGUGGUUAGUGGGACCCUCACUGACCGUGCAGGGCACACUGUGGGA
ensembl:lncRNA